GAUAUAAGGAUGAAUCAAAAUAUGUAAUCCAACACUUGAUCUGAUAUUGUGAUGCUAAAUAUAUAUUUAUAUGCUUAUGAAUAUAU